rnacentral:lncRNA from 1 species
AGCAUGGCAUUCCGUCCUGGGUGACUGGGAUCUGAGAUAAAAAGAGAAAUAGGGAAGAUCUUGAGGAAGAGUGAGCCCUGCAGGCUUAUCCACAAUGAUAGAAACCAAUUUCUUCAGGCACCAGUGGGGCUCACAGAACAAGAACUGAGCUGAUGGGUGAAGCAGCCUCCAUGGAGGGAGAGUAUGUGCAGAUCUUUGUAGGGAGGAAGAGAGUCCAGAGCCAGCUUCGCCGCUUCCGAGCCACGAACAGAAGCCUCCUACGCGGGCCUCAGCUUUAAGAACGCAUCCAGAUGUGGCUGGGACCACCCUGUGCCUCGGGUGUCUCCAAAUGUGGCGCAGGCCACCCCACGCCGAGCGAGGCAACAGGCCCCAAAACAGGCAAGUGGGGUUACACCAAACUGAAGUGCCUCUGCACAGCAAAGGACAUCAGUGACAGUGAAGAGAGAGCCCACCAAACCAGGGUAAAUAUUUCUAAAUCAGUCAUCAUAUACGGGAGUGAAAGCCCAAGUCCUCAAGGAAGGCAAACUACUCAGUAAUAAGAAAACAAACAAUAUAGUCAGAAAGAUGGUCAGUGGCCUGAAAAAAAAAAGAUUCUUUUUCAAAGAAGAUAUAAAAAUAAAUGGUCAACAGAUAUAUGAAAAAAUGAAAAUGGCGCUUAUACGGUGAGACCUUCCAUUCCGAAACCGUGCUCUCAGUUCCAGCACACAGGAGGAGCCAGUCUGGGCUACAUCAGGAGUCUCCAGAAACCUAGAAAACAAACAAACCAAACGAUGGAAAAUCAGUGUCCACGGGGCAUGGAGAAGAGGGAACGGUGUACACAGUCACAUUGUAAAAUUGGUGCAGAUGCUUUGAGGAAUGACAUGAAGGUGCCCCAAAAUAACCCAGCAGAGUUCCCGUGAGAUCCAGCCAACCUAUUUCUGUAGAUUCAUCUUGAAGAAACUGAAAUCUCUGUGUCAAAGUGCUGGCUGGGCUCCCAUGUCCGUAGCUGCCUAGUUCACAAUGCCAGAUACAGAAACAGUUGAAAUGUUUGCUCAGGGCUGGGGAGAGGGGAUAUGAAAGAAACAUAUCCUGAUUGUGGCUGAUUCCAGUGAGGUUUCUUUUAGGGACAACGCAAUGUUCUAAAAUGGAUUGUGGUCAUGGGUGCACAAUUCAGGGAGGAUACUAAAAAGCAGUUGAAUGGAGUGCUCCGUGGAUGAACUGCACGGCAUUGUGUCAGGCCUCACCUCCGACAACCUUGUGAGUUGUGGACUACAUUCCAGUGAAUGAAUUGGAGAAACGCGUACCCUCAAACCACAGUGUGGAUAAAGUAGGGCGUCUGCAAAGGAAUGCCACAGGAAGGGGAAGCAGCCACAGCUCUGGGUACCCAAUGCACAGCUUGGCUGGUGUGAGUGGACUGGAUUGAUGGAGAAGGAGGGAAUCGUAGCAGAAGCCAAAAUGAAGUAUGGCGGCUGCCGAGGGGGUGCUAUGAGCCGUCUACCCAGUGAGGUAUGAAGGGUCAAGUAGAGGAUUGCUGUGGAACGCCUUGGCUCUAGCUCUCUAGCAGGGUGCAGUGGUAUAUGUGCUCUAGCGUCUAUCACACUGUGAAGAAAUUUGCUAGCAUCAUCAUCAUCAUCUUUAUUUUUAAAUAAUUGAUCAGUCUUUCUUCUUGGUAGCUUCUAGGAAUUUAAAUCUUGAAUUUAAGAAUAUAAGAGGUCAGCUUGAGGAAUGAAUAUAUGUUUCGGGGAAGAAGGUCCCAUUACUGAACUGGCUUUGUCAUAAAAGCCUCUCAUGGCUACAGGUGCCAAUGUGACUCAUGACUGCAGAGAUCAAGAAGACUCCUCAAAUCGAGCUAUUCAUGAUCUGCAUUCUGGUGUAUGAAU